rnacentral:rRNA from 1 species
AGAGACCGAUAGCGCACAAGUAGAGUGAUCGAAAGAUGAAAAGCACUUUGGAAAGAGAGUCAAACAGUACGUGAAAUUGUUGAAAGGGAAGCGCUUGCAACCAGACUUGCCCGCGGGUGAUCAACCGGUAUUCUUACCGGUGCACUCGCCCGUGGUCAGGCCAGCAUCGGUUUGGGCGGCUGGAUAAAGUCCACUGGAAUGUAGCUCCUCUCGGGGAGUGUUAUAGCCAGAGGUGCCAUGCAGCCCGCCCGGACCGAGGACCGCGCUUCGGCUAGGAUGCUGGCGUAAUGGUUGUAAGCGACCCGUCUUGAAACACGGACCAAGGAGUCUAACAUCUAUGCGAGUGUUUGGGUGUCAAACCCAUGCGCGUAAUGAAAGUGAACGGAGGUGGGAACCCUCAAGGGUGCACCAUCGACCGAUCCUGAUGUCUUCGGAUGGAUUUGAGUAAGAGCAUAGCUGUUGGGACCCGAAAGAUGGUGAACUAUGCCUGAAUAGGGUGAAGCCAGAGGAAACUCUGGUGGAGGCUCGCAGCGGUUCUGACGUGCAAAUCGAUCGUCAAAUUUGGGUAUAGGGGCGAAAGACUAAUCGAACCAUCUGCUACUAGAUGGCAUACGGGCCGCGUGCCCCAGUAGUCCCCGUGCGGCGGGGGCGACAUCGUCGGUCUCUUCGGGAACGCCUCCGGGCUACCCGCAGUGAGCCUCGGGCUCAUCCACAGACUAAGUGGCGGUGGCCGUGCCCUGGAGCACGGUUAGGAUAUAGUCGAUU